rnacentral:rRNA from 1 species
GACGAACGCUGGCGGCGUGCUUAACACAUGCAAGUCGAACGGAAAGGCCCUGCUUUUGUGGGGUGCUCGAGUGGCGAACGGGUGAGUAACACGUGAGUAACCUGCCCUUGACUUUGGGAUAACUUCAGGAAACUGGGGCUAAUACCGGAUAGGAGCUCCUGCUGCAUGGUGGGGGUUGGAAAGUUUCGGCGGUUGGGGAUGGACUCGCGGCUUAUCAGCUUGUUGGUGGGGUAGUGGCUUACCAAGGCUUUGACGGGUAGCCGGCCUGAGAGGGUGACCGGCCACAUUGGGACUGAGAUACGGCCCAGACGCCUACGGGAGGAAGCAGUGGGGAAUAUUGCACAAUGGGCGGAAGCCUGAGGCAGCAACGCCGCGUGCGGGAUGACGGCCUUCGGGUGGUAAACCGCUUUCGCCUGUGACGAAGCGUGAGUGACGGUAAUGGGUAAAGAAGCACCGGCUAACUACGUG